UAUAAUCAAGGUAAAGUAAGACGAAAGAAGGUAAUACUCGAAUUCAUCCUAAGUUUAAAGAGAAAGCCCAAACUCAUGCCUAACCUAUUUAUUUUAAUCCUAAACUUGUCCCAUAAUAGGUGGGACAAGUACCCAAAAAAACUCUCUCAUAGUCAUCUUGGUCGGAUUGGGAACGACUCCCUUAGGGGCCUUCCUCGGGUGUCGAACAAUUGACUUAGAACGGAUACAGACAAGGGGAAUUCGAUUGUUUAUUAAAACAAAGCAUUGUGAUGGUCUUUGCGAAUGCUCUGAUUUCUGCCCAAUGCUCUAAAUGUCAAAGUGAAGAAAUUCAAUCAAGUGCAGAUAAACGGUGGGAGUAGCUAUGACUCUCUUAAGGUAGUCUAAUUAAUAACGUGCAUGAAUGGGUUAACAAGGUUGUUACUAUCCUUUUCUACAUCCAUCGAAACCACAACCAGAGCAAUAGGCUUAG
rnacentral:ncRNA from 1 species